AAUAAGGACAUCAUACUGCUACCUGAUUCUACAUGGGAUGAAGUCUGCAAACACAAAACCAAAAGAAGGCUUCAUGAAAGGGGCUAUAUUUUAAGUGCCUUUGAGAUGAGGAAAAUGUGGGACUGCAGGACAGUCAUUGCAGAGAUAAGAGAAGCAUUCAAGGACAGAAUUCCUGAGGAUGUCAGUAUUGAUCUUUUGAUGGCAUGUGGAAACAAACUGGUUUCACCAAAGUUGCGUGAGGGCCAGGAACUGAAUGGCUUUAUGAUUCACAAGGUGUUCAAAUCAAAGGCAGUGUAUAUUAGGCCAUCGACAAAUCUUCCAUUUCCGUCUGACAGCACAGAUUCGGAGGACAGUUGUGUGGAGGUUGACGCUACAUCAGCAUCUAGUGACCACAGUACCAGUCAGACCAGUGACUGUAUGACCACAAGGGCCAGGGGAAACCAAACUGCAUCAAUACAGCAGAUCUCUAGUUAUCCUUUCACAAGAAGGGCCAGAGCUAACCAGCUCUCUGCAACACAGCAAGCAUCCAGCGAUGUCAUGACCAGAGCUAACCAGCCUUCUUCAACACAGCAAACAU